rnacentral:rRNA from 1 species
CCUACGGGAGGCAGCAGUGAGGCAUAUUGGUCAAUGGCCGUAAGGCUGAACCAGCCAAGUCGCGUGAAGGAAGAAGGAUCUAUGGUUUGUAAACUUCUUUUAUAGGGGAAUAAAGGUAUCCACGUGUGGAUAUUUGCAUGUACCCUAUGAAUAAGCAUCGGCUAACUCCGUGCCAGCAGCCGCGGUAAUACGGAGGAUGCGAGCGUUAUCCGGAUUUAGUGGGUUUAAAGGGUGCGUAGGUUGUUUUUUAAGUCAGCGGUGAAAGUUUGUGGCUCAACCAUAAAAUUGCCGUUGAAACUGGAAGACUUGAGUGUGUUUGAGGUAGGCGGAAUGCGUGGUGUAGCGGUGAAAUGCAUAGAUAGCACGAAGAACUCCGAUUGCGAAGGCAGCUUACUAAGCCAUAACUGACACUGAAGCACGAAAGCGUGGGGAUCAAACAGGAUUAGAUACCCUGGUAGUC